AUUUAAUUCAGGCACCUGAGCCAACAGCAGGCUCAUGCCCAAAAUGGCUGCCGACCCCUGCAAAGAAAGCAGGCUUGCUUAAGUGCCGUUUGAGGCGGGAAAACAAGGCAGGUUACAGGUUUCAGACAAAGACAGUAAAUUAUCCAACCCGUGACAAUUCGGAGAGAACUUACAAUUUAGUUAUUUUGUCCAGUCAACUUUGAAGCUGAACAGAGCUGGGUAUCUCUUACCAUCCGGCCCAGGCAGCAGCCAGCCCUGCCUGGGCCGCGGCCGCCGGCCUCAUGAGCCUGGCAUUCCUGUCGCCCCCUCUCCCCAUAGCUUGCCUCCUCCUUCUCACAGUCGGGCGCCCGGCUCCUCGAGACGCAGGACCACCUCAGAUCUCCAGUCCUGCACCUGCCGGCUGAGCAAACGAGGAGACGGGGAGAAAAGCUGUCUGUCGUUCCUGAAGGAACAGGACCUCCGCACUCCAAGAAGGAAUCGGGCGCCCAGUGGGGGCUGCAGGAGCAGAGGACGGUGGCGGCAGUAGCAGGAGAGGCAGGAGUAGGAGCAGUGGCUUCUCUGGAGGUGGCACUGUCUGCCCCCUUGAGCCUCUUCCUAACGCAGUCUUGAUUCAAAAUCCCUGCUCACCACGGAUGCACAGUCACAGCUGAAGAUUGUAGUUAUCUAGGAGGAUUCUUUCUUAGUUGUAAAUCUAUGUUUUAUAUAGGAGUUUUUUCGUUGUUUCUCUCAUUCUUUCUUGAAAUUUCAUAUUACUAUUUUUUUUUUCUUUUUUGGUAAGUUCCUUGACAUUCGUGUUUUGUGAGUUUGGUUUUACCUACGUAUUAUGAUUUUGGAUGUAAAUCUGCAACUCUAUGUACAUGUUAAGUCAAUGUGAUGUUUAAUCAAAAUAUGAAUCAGCCAUAUCUACCACCAAUAAAAUCGUGUGUUUGUUUGCCUCUGUAAGUAUAGUCUAUUUCUUCUUAAUUAUCUUGCAUAUUUCUCUUCUUGGCUGGUGUCAAAAGUUGUUUUAUCUUGUUCAGGACAGUAGUCAUAUAAGUAGUCUUAACUUACCCACGUAUUUAUUGAACAAAUCUAUAUUUUCUUUGUGUGAGGAAAACACAUUUAUAAUUUGAAGGUAAUUUUCCAAAAAGUUUGUAACUCGGUAUCUCUUUUAUGUAUCACUUUACAAUAUUUUAACUGUAAUAAAACACAACAAAAUUUACCAGUCUAUACAUUUGUAAUUGCAUAAUUUAUUAGUGGUACAUAUAUCCACAUUGUUAUGCAACAGGCUUCUAGAGCUUUUCCAUUGCAAAACUAAAACUCAAUACCCAUAUACGUCAACUGCCCAUUUUACCCUCUCCUGAGCCCUUAACAUUUUACUUUCCAUUUCUGUGAGUUGGACUACUUAAGAUAUCUCAUAAGUGGAAUCACACAAUCACUGUCACUUUGUUUCCUGGCACAUUUCACUUAACAUCAUGCCCUAAAGGUUUAUUGUCAUUGCAGCAUGUGAUAAGAUUUCCUUUUAAAAUCAUAUUUCAUUGUAUGUAUAUAUCAUAUUUACUUAUUUAUCUGUCAAGGGACAUUCAAGUAGCUUCUACCUUUUGGAUUUUUAGAAUAAUUCUGUCAUAAACAUGGGUAUGUAAAUGUUUCUUUCAGGUCCCG
rnacentral:lncRNA from 1 species